CCGAAGCUGAAGAACCAGGAAGGUUUGCUGCCUCGUCAGAUUGCCAAAGACUCCGGUCACAAAGCAGCAGCCAAGGAGCUCCGGAAAGCAGAGAAGCAGCAGGGGAAAGGCAACAAGUCCAGCGAUGUCAACCUCAUGUCAGACGUCUGGGCGCUGACCCUCCAUGACUGGUCUCACGAAUAUGAGACGGAGCUACGUCAAGCCUUCGGGGACGAAUCGGACUCAGUCAACAAAGACAAGUUUAUCUCUGUGUUGGAGGAGCUAAAGGCUCCGGUGGAACUGGAACAGCUUCGUACAGUCAUCUCAGCCCAUGAAAAGGGAAGACAGGAGGACGUCAACAUUAACGACUUCAUCAAAGGUGUAAAGUACAUAAAGAAACCGUUCCUCCUCUCCUCUUAUAUGCCUAAAAAGAAAAAGGGCGAAAAGGGGGGUAAAGUAGGUAAGAAGAAGGGUAAAUUUGUCCUCCCCGUGCCCGUUUGCACCCAGCCGUUAGAGGUCAUGACCCGACGACCGGACGGAGGCCCUCCUCACUUCAUGAUCGAAACCUACUACAACCCCUCAGACAUCAGGAGGUUCGACCCCGACCACCCACCAGCACAUCCCAUAAUGAACGACUCCGGGUGGUACAUGGAGAAGCCAGAGAAGGUUUACGUCAGCAUCAACUACUGCGUGAAGAGCGGAGAUCUGGAGUCCCUGGACCUGGCCUUCAGCCGUGGGGUUCCUGUGGACGUUCAUGACCAGUUCUACAAGACGCCGCUGAUGGUCGCCUGCUCCAGUGGAAACUACGAGGUCGCCCAGUACCUCCUCGGACACGGGGCUGAUGUGAACAUGUCUGACGGGUUCUUGUGGACGCCCCUCCAUCACGCUGCCUACACCGGAGACGUGGAACUGAUCGAGCUCCUGGUGAAGGCCGGAGCUGCUGUGGAUGCUCAGGCCCUUGGUGGAGGAACGCCACUAAUGAGGGCCAUUGAAAGCUCCAAACCCGCCUGCGUGGACUUCCUCAUCAAGGCGGGGGCCAGAGUGAAUGCAGAGACCAACAAAGGUCAUAACUGCCUGGAUGUGGCCAGAGCUUUUGGAGACUCCAGAGUAAUCAACUUGGUCAAAGAUAAGAUGGAUUCUCUGCCCAAACCCAAGGACCCGGGGAAGGGAAAGGGGGGCAACAAUCAAAAAACCAAACCUGCUAAAGUGAAGGGAGUUUCUGCAGGAGGUUCAGUUCACGCCAAGGCAUCGACAGCUACAGCAGGACUCACACUGGCACAGCAGAAGGAAUCAAAGAGUGUCAUCCUGCAGAACACAAGGAUCACUACAGGGAAGACAAGCACUGUGGAUAUCACCUUUGUGCCAAAAACGGUCUGGGGGAAGCCUCCCUCCACCCAGCAGCUGAUGUCUCACAUAGACAGACGGAAGCAGAACUUCUCCCUGGAGGUGGACUUGGACGAUCUGCUGAUGCCGUUCAACCGCAACAUCCAGAGGAAGAUCCUGGAGCUGACCGAGCAGAUGGACUAGACUGGAGGAAGAUCCUUCAGGCUGCGGCUCGUGUCCAGAGCUGUAACUGUGUUUGGACCACAGCGAGGGAAGAGAGAGACAGUAAAUUAUGACGAAGGAGAGGGAAGCUGAUGGAAGGGAGCAGGAAACCAGACCAAACAUGGGCACAGGUGACGCACGGAGGAUACCCAGUUUCCAUAGCAACAGGCAGGUGCAAGACACUGGGAGCGAGCUUUCGAUCUGCUGAGGGAGAGUUACACAACAAACACACAACAUGUGAAGACGAACACGCCUGCGUGAACAUGGUAGUGCUGCCAGACGAGAUAUGAUUGACCAACCAGGACACGGACUCUGCUGACCCUUAAAACACACAUGGAUGCUGGGAAACGCCUGACGCAUUGGGGAUGGGAGAGGGGAUGAAAGGGGGAGUCGACAAGAAAGAGAGGGAGGAGAAGGAUGAGGCGGGAGGCUGAGAUUAAAGGGGAAGAGGAGCUGGGGGACGGGAGUGUUGAUCUGUACCCUGGGGCAGCAGCGUUACAUGAUGAAGGAGGAGAGCUGGGGUUGUUGUUGCACAGCGAAGAGAGAACGAGAGAGGGAGGUGAUGAGAUGGAGGAAAAGUUGAGGAAAGUAUAAGGAAUGUGGUAGAAAAAAAAUACCCUGAUGAGUCAGAACGUUAAAACCACCUCCUUAUAUCGUAUAGAUCCCUUUGUCUCACCCAGACAGCUCUGAUCCAUCGGGGUAUGGAACCUCCUGGGAUGUUUUGUUGGGUCUGGCACUGGGAUGUUGGUUGAUGAUCCUUUAAGGCAUCUACAGACUGUACAAUUUCAACAAUCUUCUAAGUUCCCAGCUUGCUCCGCUGUAUGACAUAAAUCUAAUCAUCUUUGGACACGACGUGAAGUUUGCUCUGUGCAGAUUAACGAUGAAAACGCAGCUGAAUCUCAGCCUACAAUGUAUGUGAGUCAACGUGAACGAAGAAUAACACGUCAUCAGCGUGCGCCGUCCAUCCAUGAAAACGAAACAACCGAAGCAUAAACGGAGCUCCUACAAUCACAGGGAAACUAGCCAAACAUGAACCCUACAAACACAGGGAAACUAGCCAAACAUGAGCCCUACAAUCACAGGGAAACUAGCCAAACAUGAACCCUACAAUCACAGAGAAACUAGCCAAACAUGAACCCUACAAACACAGGGAAACUAGCCAAACAUGAGCCCUACAAUCACAGAGAAACUAGCCAGACAUGACCCCUACAAUCACAGGGAAACUAGCCAGACAUGACCCCUACAAUCACAGGGAAACUAGCCAAACAUGGACCCUACAAUCACAGGAAACUAGCCAAACAUGAACCCUACAAACACAGGGAAACUAGCCAAACAUGAACCCUACAAUCACAGAGAAACUAGCCAAACAUGAACCAUACAAACACAGGGAAACUAGCCAAACAUGAGCCCUACAAUCACAGAGAAACUAGCCAGACAUGACCCCUACAAUCACAGGGAAACUAGCCUGACGUGAUCCCUACAAUCACAGGGAAACUAGCCAAACAUGAACCCUACAAUCACAGGAAACUAGCCAAACAUGACCCCUACAAUCACAGGGAAACUAGCCAAACAUGAACCCUACAAUCACAGGAAUCUAGCCAAACAUGACCCCUACAAUCACAGGGAAACUAGCCAAACAUGAACCCUACAAAUACAGGGAAACUAGCCCAACAUGAGCUCUACAAUCACAGGGAAACUAGCCAAACAUGACCCCUACAAUCACAGGGAAACUAGCCAAACAUGAACCCUACAAUCACAGGAAACUAGCCAAACAUGACCCCUACAAUCACAGGGAAACUAGCCAAACAUGAACCCUACAAUCACAGGAAUCUAGCCAAACAUGACCCCUACAAUCACAGGGAAACUAGCCAAACAUGAACCCUACAAAUACAGGGAAACUAGCCAAACAUGACCCCUACAAUCACAGGGAAACUAGCCAAACAUGAACCCUACAAUCACAGGAAACUAGCCAAACAUAACCCCUACAAUCACAGGGAAACUAGCCAAACAUGACCCCUACAAUCACAGGGAAACUAGCCCUGUGAUGUCUCUUCUGGUAGUGACGUAACUGGAACUCUGGUGGUUGAUAAAGGCACUCUGUCUUCUUGAUGUUCAUUCUGAGGCUGCAUUGGCUAUCUGCUCUUGCGAAUUUCUCCACUAAAGAUUGCAUAUAUUCCGCACUGUGUGAAACUAGAGCACUGUCGUCGGCAAAGAGCUUUUCUCCUACUACCUUUAUCGAUGUCUUACUCUUGGCUUUAAACUGUGCCACACUGAACAGAUCUGCUCCAAGCUGCUUGUAAUUCUGCACAUUCAGGCGUCUUGAAGGUAAUUCUACAUCAAACUUUCAGAGACGGUCAGAAUGGUGGCAUGUUUUUAUUUGUGGAGUUGGAACUAGUUCUCUGAAACAUCUUAUUUCCUUCUUCCUGAUAGUUUCUCUGCUCACUGGACAUCUGAGCCCCAGUCAUGCGGCAGGGCAGCGUCAGCUGUUCAGACGUUCACACACAUUUAUGUGCAGUUUCUAUACGCACACAUGCACAUAUGGGAGUGCGCUCGUUCUGAGUUCAGUCGGCAUUAAUGUUCCACUUCCUGUGAGCUAGCCAGGAGGGACGUUAGCUUCUGGGCCAGUGACUCUCACCAUGUCUGUCCUGUUUGUUUCCUUCUCCUCUCUGCUGGGUUGUUGCAUCACCUUGAGUUGUGUUGCGAUGCUUUACACUGUGUUACUGUGUGUGUCGCUGGUCAGGAUUGGUGUCGUUUUAUUGCAUUAGAUUAGGAGACUUGAUGACUUAUGUAAGCUCAUGUUGCAUCAUGUGUUUUUUGGCUCUGUCUGGCUGCGUUCUUUGUUCUGUCCUGUUCUUAUCUGCUCUGCUGCACUCAGCUGUUGACACUCAGUGUUUCUAAUAUCCAGCCGAACCCUGUGUGGCUUCAUGAUUCAGCAGCGUAAACCUGAAGGGAGGCAGAAAAUAGGAGAGGAAAAGGUGCAAAUUGACCCAAUGAGAGAGAUGAAAACAUGGAAGGAGAAAGUCAGGGAGCAAACACAAGAGAGAAAACAGAAAAGCCAAGGAGAGAAAAGACAGAGAGGUGUAGAGCUGCAGGUCGAUGCCGAUCGAUUCUCCCUGACAACCAUCCUCACCAUCAGAUACAAGACCUUCAGUCCCACACUUAUCAAUGUCGCCACUCACUCGCCAUCUAUCAAUACCUCAAUUAUCAGAUUGAAUAUCGCUCUCCCCAGUGGGCUGAAUGCGACUGAGAGCUAUUCUUCAUCCUCGCUGAUGUGUUCACAGCUCAGCGCCUCUUUAGAGACAAAACAACUCAACAGGCCUGCAGGUGGAUGCAGUGAGAGGCGAAACACAGAGCGACAGAAACCAUUAUCAGAUUAAACAUUCUGGUAGAGAAAUGCUCACUGGUACUGCUGGAAAGUACAGUAACUCAAAACUGUCCCUACAUACAUGAACUGUAAAAUACUAAAUGUAAAAUACUAAAAUAACCCCUAACCCCUAAUACCUAAAAUACCAUUUUUCUCUUGUCCACCCCCCUGAUGACCAAACUGAAUCUCUAAUAAAAACUGAAUUUAAUUUAAAUCUCCUUUUCUUGGUUUUAUUUUUUUUAUUCAUGUCUCUGUAAUUGUGUGAACAUUUUUUCAUCAACAUAAUAUUUUAAAUAACAAUUAUUAUGGAUGGAAUGUGUCCCACAAUAAGUUAGCAUCACCUGUUGAUGACGUUUUUGUUUUGUGUCUCAUUUUUGUCAUUUUUAGUCUCAUUUUUGCCGCUUUGUCUUCUUUUUGUCAUUUUGUGUCUUGUUUUUGUCAUUUUGUGUCGCAUUUUUGUUAUUUUGUGUCUCAUUUUUGUCGUUUUAUGUCUCGUUUUUGUUGUUUUCUGUUUCGUUUCUCUUGUUUAGUGUAUCGUUUCUGUCAUUUUGUGUCUUGUUUCUGUCAUUUUUUGUCUUAUUUUUAGCAUUUUGUGUCUUGUGUCUUGUCCAAUGAAUUGCAUUAUCUGAUUCCUUCAUAUGAAGAAUUAAAUAGGUGAUGAAAUAUCUUACAUGAACUUAAAGAUUUUGCAUGAGUGAAGCAUUUAAAUUCCUCCACCCUGAGAAACGCAUGCACAGCAUGAUGAGCUGGAACAUUCCUGCACACGGUGGCCAGAUGGACGUACAGUCGUGACGAGCUCCGAUGAAAAACAGGUCUGAUGGUGUGUUUGGUGCGAUGACUAAGGGAUGAGAGAAAGGCAGAUUUUAGUGCUGAGUCACAGCAGGACUGUUGCUGCUGCAUCGUCCUCCCUCCUUCCCGCAUUCCCUCCCCCACACCGAGCCGCUUCAUCCCUCACCCAUCCCUCAUUCUCCUCACAUACAGAUAAAUAAAUAGAAGCCUGUAUGGUCCAUCUCUGCUCCCCUCCUCUCUAAUGUCACACCUCCAUCUCCUUUCAUGCAUCUGUUUUUUGUUUCUAUCCAGCUCCCAUCGUCUCUUUCUGGUUUUUUGCCUCGUCACUGUUUCUCAGCUCACCCCUCCCUGGUCCUCCUCUCCUCCCUCCUUCCCCCGUGAAGUUUAAUUAAGAGUGAAAUCAGUCAGAGGAGAGAUCAGAGUGUCGGAGCUUGUCUGCUACAGGGUUGAUAAUGCUGCAGCUAAUCUUCUCCUCCACUUGCUGUGUUGUUGCUCUCUGACCCUCCAUCCUAAACACCUUCUUCACACAAACUCCACCCAGAUUCAGAGUAAGAUGCAAAGCCAGAAAACACAGCAGCAGUUCUUCCUCCAGCAUCAUGUUAGAUUCCGCUGCUAAACGAACCUGCAGCCUUCGUCUUUAUCAGGAGCUUCGAUCUGCAGCAGCUCUGUGGAGGAUGGAAAUGUGGAAGAUAAGCAGCAGCAGAGCCAGGGGGAUGUUUCUGGAAAUAAGCUGACAAUGGCCAGUUCAGACGGCUGAUAACCCUGUCAGACAAAAAAAUAAGAAUAUUAAUUUAACAUCCUCAGUGUUAACACAAGAGCUCGUGAAAUUGGAUUAACCUGAAUCCAGUCUGAAUAAAUCUCUGUGACAAAGAACAGGUAGUUUCUUUUAGUUUUUUGUUUUUUUUUUACUCUAGAAGAAUUUGCUGAGUCACUGGAAGACAUUUUUUUUUAACUAUUUUUAUCUCAUUCAUGCUUUUUUAUUUACUAAAAUCAAAGAGAAAAUGAAUGAAACAAAUGCAGAGAAACAAAGUCAGGAGUUUAACACAGAGCUAAUGUUUGAGUUUAUUUUUACUGGAAACUAUGAAUGACUUGUAGUGCACAGAAUGUAAUCUGUUACUGGGUUAAAUCAGGUAUUACUGAAGCUGGAGUCAACAUAAACUAGCUCUAAAUUUCUCCCUAGUUUUAAUAAAUGUUCAAAUAAUCCAGUAUCUCCCCAAAAAUCAAAGAUAUGAGAAGGCUGAAAACAGAUUUGUCUAUCAGAACAGUUUUUUCAUCUUUCAUCUCUUAUUAAUCUGAUAACCCUUCAGAUUUAUCUUCUGUCCAUAUAUAUAAAACGUUUUGAGUCUCAUUUUUGUUGUUUUUUGGUGUUUCGCGUCUCGUUUUCGUGAUUUUGUCUCGUUUUUUUUGUCAUUUGUGUCUUGUUUUUGUCAUUUUGUGUCUCGUUUUUGUCGUUUUGUAUCUCAAUUUGUCGUUUUGCAUCUCGUUUUUGUCAUUUUGUGUCUUGUUUUUGUCAUGUUGUGUCUUGUUUUUGUCGUUUCCAUCAUCCAGCAGUGUUCCUAUAGAAUGGGUAGAUCAAAGCUAUGUCCUCUCUUCUAUUUUCCAUAUUUUCAUCCCAUUGUCAGCCUUGAUUGAACGUCUCCCUCCAGCUCAUAUUAUCAGGAUCAGACUAAUUCUUUGGACUGUUUUCCAUCAGUCAGUUUGUCCUCUUGGUCAGCAGUAACAGCAGAUAAAUAUCUAGCUUCUACUGCUGAGAAAAAGAUCACAUUAGCAUGGAUUAGAGUAGAGUUAGCAAACAACACAGAAAACAAAGAAUAACAAGCUGAGCCAAUCAAUACCUAUUAUUGAUCAAUGUGGAGCGGAAAACUGGAUAUAUUGUGCAGCCAGAAUCAGAAUAUUAAUGAAGUCUAGAAUUGCAUUAUUUGUUUUUAUGACUCCUUUUGUUUUUUAUUUAGCUAUAAAAAAAUAAUUCCAUGUUGUCACACAUUUUACCGUCCUAUAUGAGUGAGUUAAACCCAUCUGCACAUUUAGGAUCAGGUUUUUACAGUCUCCCUGGGUCAAAACCGUCAGACAUUAAUACAUUAAAUCUAACUGGAACCAUUACACUUUUAAUUAGAUGAGUUUAUAGUAAAUAAAUGACGUGUUGUGGAUCUCCAAUAGGCCUCCAGAGGACCUCAGACUGAAACCUGAUCCUUCUUCAAACACAAUCCUGCUCUUCCAUCAGUGUUUAAUCUGGUUUGUUCCACUCUUAUUUUAUUGUUUUCCAGGAGAACGACUGAACGAGGAACCUGUAGAUUCAUUUUCCUCACUCUCUCCACACAAACACACACAUCCUACCCCACCUCUAACACAAUAAACACACAAACCGUCCUCUGGAGACACACAGGGAGUCGUUGGGCGCGCGCGCACACACACACACACACACACACACACACACACACACACACACACACACACACACACACACACACACACACACACACACACACACACACACA